UACGGAGGUGGCAAGCGUUGCUCGGAAUCACUGGGCGUAAAGGGCGCGUAGGCGGGGAGGUAAGUCGGGUGUGAAAUCCCUCGGCCCAACCGAGGAACUGCGCCCGAGACUGCUUCUCUUGAGUCCCGGAGAGGAAGAUGGAAUUCCCGGUGUAGCGGUGAAAUGUGUAGAGAUCGGGAGGAACACCGGUGGCGAAGGCGGGUCUCUGGGCAACAACUGACGCUGAGGAGCGAAAGCGUGGGGAGCGAACAGG
rnacentral:rRNA from 1 species